GGAUCCAGGAUACUGGAUGCUGGUCAGUUCAGGGAGAGUCAAGGAGCUGAUCCUGCCAUUUUCUUCUCUGAGGCAGCAAGCAAGUAAGCAAGUGGGGGGAGGGGGGGACACUGGGGCAUCCGCAGAUGGCUCCAGUAUGGCUGCCUGGCUUCCUGCUGCAUUGGGGGAUCUGGCAAAAGAGGCGGGAAUCUCAGAAUGAAGAUCUCCACAUUUUCUAUAGCAAUCAUUAAGAAUUAUUUUGUAUGGUUUUGCAUGUUUGAGCUGGAGCAGAACUUCCUUGCCUUCUCGCUGCUGUCUUUUCCUUGCACAUGCAGGCCAGCUGGAGAGAACAGAAUGCCACUGGGCAUAUGAAGAGGAUCUUUUGCACCACUUUCCUUAGCCAGCACACACACAAACCGGGACUCGAAGCAAAGCUUCCCAUUCAAAAGGGUGAGGAUUGGGCAAAAUUGCAUAGAAGGAUGUGUAUAUUGGGAUUAAUUCGUGUUAAAAUGCUGAAUAAUUUUCACGAGGACUUUUUAGGAAAUGAAUUUAAGAAUGGGGAAAUGAAAAAUGGAGAGAAAUCAAUACUGACAUAUUCACCAAUCCCUACUUUGGACAGAUUUGACUCUGGUUCUGCUUCUCCCUGCCUUGCAGCUUUGGGCAGCCCAGGAGCAUCUUUCACAGUGAGGUGUUGGCAGCCCUAAGGGCGGAGGGAGGCGGGGGACAUUUUGGUGCUCCGUGGAAGGCGGGAUGUGCUGUACAUACAGGUCAUAGGCAACCUGAUCAAUAAAGGAUGUUACCUGGAUGUGCUUUAGGUCCAGUUCUUUCUCUGAGAUGCAAUGGGAAAGAUCUCAGCAAGGAAAUUGUGGGUGGGACAGAGCAGCUUUUUGACUGAAGUCUCAGUCUCUGCCGGGUUUUUGCUGCCAGCAUUUUCAUAUUGGGGCUGGCCUGAAGCCAUGAAAAAAGUGCAUCCCCUCCACUCCCCACCACCUGCAGAAGCCGGUUGACCAGGGUGUUAAUUCUUUCUUCAACACUUUUCUCUGCCCCCCUGUUUCAGGCCUAUUACCAGAAAAGCAAAAAGCAAGACCAGCUGGUUAGUUGGUUGGUUCAAUUCCCACAGCUGUUUUAAAAGCUGUACACCUUUAAGGGUGUACACCCAGAAUGUGCACCAAAACAAAGACUCUGUGCUCUGUUUCCCCUACUCUCCCAUCCGUCCCCCACCCUGCUGAUGUCAAGAUGGAGGAUGUUUCUGCCAGGUUUUGAGGGGCCAAGGAGGGGAGGAAGAGAUUUCAGAAGGCAGUGCACGUUCAGAACCAUAAUCUUGCAUCUGGUCAAAUGAAACUGCCAGGUGUGCUUUUCUCUGCAUAAUAACCAGAGACUUCAGGGCUUCUGGGGAAUUUGGUAUGAAAUGAAGCUGGGGCGCUGGUGAUGGAGACAACAUUCCCUCUGCCUUCUGUGGCAAUUAGGGCAGUUAUGUAACUUCCUUUAUAGUGGCCAGUGCUCUGAGGCUCCUCUUUCUGAAAGCAUCCUCUCUUUCAAAGGUUGUCCAGUAUAACAACAACAACAACAACAACAACAACAACAACAACAACAACACUUACACCCUGCCCAUCUGGCUGGGUUUCCCCAGCCACUCUGGACGGCUUCCAAUAGGAGAUAAAAAUACAGUCCAAGUCUAGCUUAAACAUCAAGGACUCUGACCAGGGAGCGGAGGAAGGUGACUUGAAGUUGCCCAGGUACAGGGAGCAGCUAGACAGCAAAUGGAGCUGCCUGGCCACAGCCUUUUCCACAAGGGCAACAAGUAGUCCAUUGUGAUUUAAAUGGUAGCAAUUAUUUCUAAAUGUGCAUUUCAGUAAGAAUAUGUGAUUUUUAAUGCAAAUCACUGUCCCUUUUCAUCCUUUGUUCCGCAGUGCAUUUUCAUUUUUGAUUGGCAAUGAAAAAAUGCCCCCCCCCCUCUGGGCAGCCCAAAUGGCCUUUUUAAUGGUCUGGCCAUCAGCAAUGACAGGACUGCUCUUCUGGAAAGAUUUCCAGUCAAAACCAUCUGCCUGCGUAGUCUCCGCUCACAACAGCGGGGGAUGCAGGAGAAAUUAAUGUCCGUUUGUAAAAAUUAAUGUUUUUAAAUGGGUGUAGCUCCAAUAAUUUUUCAAAGAUCAGUGGGCAAUAAAUAAAUUUCUAGCAAAUGGACCCUUCAACCUUUCAACUAGCCUGAUAUUCCCUCCCCUCCCUUCCCUUUGGUCUACUAUGCGGUAGGGUUGUGCAUCAGCCACAAAAUUCAACAUGUUUCUGCAGUUUAGGGAAGCAGUCCAGUCUAUUUCAGAGCUGCUCUGUGUCUUUCCAAUUUGACUUAUUUUUUGGGACUGAAUUUGAUCUGUUAAAUACAAUCUUCCGUUUUCUUGCCGUUCACUAUAAAGGAAUGGGCAAUCUAAAAAUAGUUGUUGUUGGGUUUUUUUCUUGUCACAGAAUUGGAUGGAAUUUGGAGGCAUAGCAGCCCCUCCAGAGUAAAUUAAGCCAAAUCAUAAGUAGAUGCAUUAAGGGGUUUUCAUGCACAGCAUGAAAUUAGAUAUUUUUAAAAACAAAAGAAAAGCCUAUAGCAUCUUUUUUUCAUUUUCUGCCACAAUUGACUGAAAUUUGCAUGCAUGGCCACACCUUCCUAGGGGGAUGAAUUUGUGCACAAUUUGAAACACUUUAUUGUUCUCAGCUGAAUAUGUGGACUGACUCCAUGGAGAAGAAAUUAACAUAAAAUUAACACACAAGUUGUUCCUGCAGCAAAAAGAGUGCUUAAACAUGCAUGUGUGAACGUCCCCAGUGAGGCUCAACUCUGAUGCUGGGCAUUGGGAACCAUACACAAGGUAUAGCACAGGGCUGGACUGAACUUUUUCCAGCCAGGAGGGAGAGAGCUCCUGGACUGAAAUCCUGGAAGACCACAGCCCCUCCAUGUGGACAAUGCAGGGCUGGGUUGUCUGAUGGCCUGACUCAGGAGAAGGCAGCUCCCUAGGUUUCAGAGCCCCUUGGAUCCCCCCAGCCCGAGAAGAGGCCAUUUCCUUGCCACUGGUUCUGUGCUCCUGUGGUUUUCCUUACACCUUGCCAGAGCCACCCAAAGAGUCAGUUCAAAAGUUACUCAUUAGGCCGCUUACUAGAAUGUAUGAGCACACAAUCAAUCUCAAUUUAUCUUGGGUCGAGGAGGAAAAGCCCAUUGAGCUGUCAGGGCUGCAGGAUUGAUGCGCUGGCAAUAGCAGUGGUGUGUUUGCUCCCACUUCUGCCCUGCCUGCGGAGCCGUGUGUCAGCAGUGUGUGCACAACAGAUCACGCGCUUGUGCCCAGAUAGCCCUGUGCUAAUCCCGGCGGCAGGGGUGUAACUAAGGUGGGGCAACAGAGGCAUCUGCUGGGGGCACAGCAGCCUGGACACCAGAGACCAGGCAGGACAUUUUGACAUUGCCCAGCAUCACCUUUUAAGUUCUCAUGUUCAUUUUCUCAGAGGGUUAGGGAGGGCGGAGGUCAGGCUGUAAAGCACAUUCAGUGACUAAAUACUGCAGGCAGAUACUGAGGGAGAUGAUCCGAGGCAUGCUGCUUUCAUCAUCAUCAUCAUUUUAUUUGUAUGCCGCCUUUCCACAGUUAAAACAAUGCUCAAGGCGGCUUACAAUAUGAAAAGAUUUACAUAGUUACAAACAUAGCAAAGUAGUCAUAAAAAUAAACAAAACACAUCAAAAACUACAUAACCAAACUGAACAAUUACUGC
rnacentral:lncRNA from 1 species